UGAGCAAUCUGCCCUUCUCUUCGGGAUAAGCGUGGGAAACCGCGUCUAAUGCCGAAUACGACCUCCUUUCGCAUGAUCGGAGGUGGAAAGCUCCGGCGGAGAAGGAUGAGCUCGCGGCCUAUCAGCUAGUUGGUGUGGGUAAUGGCCCACCAAGGCGACGACGGGUAGCCGGCCUGGAGAGGGUGACCCGGCCACACGUGGGACUGAGACACGGCCCAGACCUCCGUACGGGGAGGCAG
rnacentral:rRNA from 1 species